UGGGGAAUAUUGGGCAAUGGAGGCAACUCUGACCCAGCAACGCCGCGUGAAGGAUGAAGGUUCUAGGAUUGUAAACUUCUGUCGCAGAGGACGAAGAAUGACGGUACUCUGUAAGAAAGCCCCGGCAAACUAUGUGCCAGCAGCCGCGGUAAUACAUAGGGGGCGAGCGUUGUCCGGAAUGACUGGGCGUAAAGGGAGUGUAGGUGGCUUGGUAAGUUAUGAGUGAAAGCCCGCGGCUUAACUGCGGAACUGCUCAUAAAACUGUCAGGCUUGAGUACAGGAGAGGUAAGCGGAAUUCCUAGUGUAGCGGUGGAAUGCGUAGAUAUUAGGAAGAACACCAGAGGCGAAGGCGGCUUACUGGACUGAAACUGACACUGAGGCUCGAAAGCGUGGGGAGCAAACAGG
rnacentral:rRNA from 1 species